rnacentral:rRNA from 1 species
GAUAGAGUUUGAUCCUGGCUCAGAACGAACGCUGGCGGCGUGCUUAACACAUGCAAGUCGAACGCGAACGAUUUUCUUCGGAGAAUCUAGUAGAGUGGCGCACGGGUGAGUAACGCGUAAAUAAUCUACCCCUGCAUUCGGGAUAACCCACCGAAAGGUGUGCUAAUACCGGAUACGUUCUUUUUAUCGCGAGAUAUUAAGAAGAAAGGUGGCCUCUGAUAUAAGCUACUGUGCAGGGAGGAGUUUGCGUACCAUUAGCUAGUUGGUAGGGUAAUGGCCUACCAAGGCAACGAUGGUUAGCGGGUCUGAGAGGAUGAUCCGCCACACUGGAACUGGAACACGGACCAGACUCCUACGGGAGGCAGCAGUGAGGAAUAUUGCGCAAUGGGGGCAACCCUGACGCAGCGACGCCGCGUGGAUGAUGAAGGCCUUCGGGUCGUAAAAUCCUGUCAGAUGGAAAGAAAUGUAUAUGUAUUAAUACUAUGUAUGCNGGACGGACCAUCAAAGGAAG